rnacentral:rRNA from 1 species
UACGGAGGAUGCGAGCGUUAUCCGGAUUUAUUGGGUUUAAAGGGUGCGUAGGCGGACGCUUAAGUCAGCGGUAAAAUUGCGGGGCUCAACCUCGUCGAGCCGUUGAAACUGGGUGUCUUGAGUGGGCAAGAAGUACGCGGAAUGCGUGGUGUAGCGGUGAAAUGCAUAGAUAUCACGCAGAACUCCGAUUGCGAAGGCAGCGUACCGGCGCCCAACUGACGCUGAAGCACGAAGGCGUGGGUAUCGAACAGG